AAAGAGGCCCAAGCGACUGUUUACUAAAAACACAGGUCUCUGCUAACUCGAAAGAGGAUGUAUAGGGACUGAAGUCUGAUCAGUGCUGGAAGGUUAAGGGGAGGGCUGCAAGGCUCAAACCGAAGCCCCAGUUAACAUCGGCUCUAACUAUAAGAGUCCUAAGGUAGCGAAAUUCCUUGUCGGGUAAGUUCCGACCCGCAUGAAAGACGCAACGACUUGGGCACUGUCUCAACGAGGGACUCGGUGAAAUUGUAUUAUCGGUGCAGAUACCGAUUAUCUGCGGCAGGACGGAAAGACCCCGGGACCUUUACUGUAGUCUGGUAUUGGGUCUUGACGUAAUCUAUAUAGCAUAGGUGGGAGGCUGAGAAGGGAAGGCGCUAGCUUUCCUGGAGCCGCCAGUGGAAUACCACCUUGGUUACCUUGAGGUUCUAACCCGCAUCCGUUAUCCGGAUGGGGGACAGUGCUUGAUGGGCAGUUUGACUGGGGCGGUUGCCUCCUAAAAAGUAACGGAGGCGUCCAAAGGUUCCCUCAGCGCGUAUAGAAAUCGCGUGGAGAGUAUAAAGGCAUAAGGGAGCUUAACUGCGAGAGAGACAUCUCGAGCAGGUGCGAAAGCAGGGCUUAGUGAUCCUGCGGUCCCGUGUGAGAGGGCCGUGGCUUAACGGCUAAAAGGUACCCCGGGGAUAACAGGCUUAUCUCCUCCGAGAGUUCCUAUCGACGAGGAGGUUUGGCACCUCGAUGUCGGCUCGUCGCAUCCUGGGGCGGUAGCCCGUCCCAAGGGUUAGUCUGUUCGCCUAUUAAAGCGGCACGCGAGCUGGGUUUAAACCGUCGUAAGACAGGUUGGUCCUUAUCCGCCGUAGACGUAAGAGAUUUGAGGGGAGCUGUCCCUAGUACGAGAGGACCGGGAUGGACAGACCUCUGGUGUACCAGUUGUCACGUCAGUGGCAUCGCUGGGUAGCUAUGUCUGGACGGGAUAACCGCUGAAAGCAUCUAAGCGGGAAGCCCACCCCAAGACUAGAUCUCUCACUCACGCAAGUGAGGUAAGGCUCCUGGGAGACUACCAGGUUGAUAGGCCAGUGGUGUAAGCACGGUAACGUGUUCAGCCUACUGGUACUAAUAAGCCGAGGGUUUGACUUU
rnacentral:rRNA from 1 species